rnacentral:rRNA from 1 species
CCUACGGGAGGCAGCAGUGAGGAAUAUUGGUCAAUGGUCGGGAGACUGAACCAGCCAAGCCGCGUGAGGGCGGAAGGUACAGAGUAUCGUAAACCUCUUUUGUCAGGGAACAAAGGCGGGGACGUGUCCCCGGAUGAGUGUACCUGAAGAAAAAGCAUCGGCUAACUCCGUGCCAGCAGCCGCGGUAAUACGGAGGAUGCGAGCGUUAUCCGGAUUUAUUGGGUUAAAGGGGUGCGUAGGCGGUCUGUUAAGUCAGCGGUAAAAGCCCGGGGCUCAACCCCGGCCCGCCGUUGAAACUGGCAGUCUCGAGUUGGAGAGAAGUAGGCGGAAUGCGCGGUGUAGCGGUGAAAUGCAUAGAUAUCGCGCAGAACUCCGAUUGCGAAGGCAGCAUGCCGGCUCCACACUGACGCUGAGGCACGAAAGCGUGGGUAUCGAACAGGAUUAGAUACCCGAGUAGUC